GAUGAACGAUGGCGGAGGGAAGAAUACAGGCAAGUCGAGCGAACAGACGAGGAGCUUGCUCCUCUGACGUUAGCGGCGGACGGGUGAGUAACACGUGGAUAACCUACCUAUAAGACUGGGAUAACUUCGGGAAACCGGAGCUAAUACCGGAUAAUAUAUUGAACCGCAUGGUUCAAUAGUGAAAGACGGUUUUGCUGUCACUUAUAGAUGGAUCCGCGCCGCAUUAGCUAGUUGGUAAGGUAACGGCUUACCAAGGCAACGAUGCGUAGCCGACCUGAGAGGGUGAUCGGCCACACUGGAACUGAGACACGGUCCAGACUCCUACGGGAGGCAGCAGUAGGGAAUCUUCCGCAAUGGGCGAAAGCCUGACGGAGCAACGCCGCGUGAGUGAUGAAGGUCUUCGGAUCGUAAAACUCUGUUAUUAGGGAAGAACAAAUGUGUAAGUAACUAUGCACGUCUUGACGGUACCUAAUCAGAAAGCCACGGCUAACUACGUG
rnacentral:rRNA from 1 species